rnacentral:lncRNA from 1 species
UGUGUCCUGGCAAUAUCACAAGAACCAUUACUGAUGAAUGGUGAAAGUGAAAAUCGUCAAUAUCAAAUUUGACCUCCAUUUUGUCAUCAGUAUCAACAUCUUAAAAUUUGAAAAGCUUAUAUUGAAUGGUUCAUGAGUAAAUGCAACAACGUGAAUGGAAACGCCAUUUCACAAUCUUUCAAGAACCAUAACUCCUGAACGGUAAAAGUCAAAAUCGUCAUUAUUGAACUUGACCUCUAAUUUGCCAUCAGUAACAACAUAUAAAAAUUUCAAAAGCUUUGGUUGAAUGGUUCAUGAGAAAAUGC